rnacentral:lncRNA from 1 species
CUCAGAAGAACGUGCUCAGAGCAUUACGGACCCAAACCGACUCAGAAGAUGCUGAACGUGCUCAGAGCAUUACGGACCCAAACCGACUCAGAAGAUGCUGAACGUGCUCAGAGCUACGGACCCAAACCGACCCGUUUAUUUCUCUCUAUGUAAUAUAUCACAUCUCUACCGACCGCUACUAGGUAUUUCUCUCUCUCCAAAGACCUUUUUCACCCUGAUCUGUUUUUAGCGUUAGUUGACCGACAGUAAAUGUUGAAAUGUUGUGAACUAUUUAGCUUUUAAAAAACAUUAUGCAUAGGUCCAUGUUCCAGAUAUCUGUCAGCAUUUCCUGCGGGUCCGUGUUCUGCGGGCCAGGUCCAUUCUCCAGCCUGCAGAAACCUUUUCAAAUCAGAUAACAACCAUAACAAUGAAUGACUACUUUCCCAGGCUGCUUUGACUGGCCAAUAGGAGGUUGAUUUGUUUCCCGGGUUUGAAAUUUUAAAAAAAUGUGGAAGGGACAAUGAAUUCCAAGCUGGAAGACAUAACGACUUGAAUUGACCGGGCUAGCGUUAGCCCCAGAGGCUUUGUUGUUGUACGCUUUAUCAUGCUGAUAUUAAACUAGAUUAAUGCAUGAUUCAUAAUCACAAUAUUAGCCAAGCGUAUAAACGAUCCAAACAGCACUAUUUCCUCUGGGGUUCAAGGAGUAUAUUUCCUUGGGUUCAAGGAGUAUAUUUCCUCUGGGGUUCAAGGAGUUAUUUUCUGGGGUUCAAGCAGUAUAUUUCCUCUGGGGUUCAAGCAGUAUAUUUCCUCUGGGGUUCAAGGAGUAUAUUUCCUCUGGGGUUCAAGGAGUAUAUUUCCUCUGGGGUUCAAGGAGAUAUUUCCCUGGGGUUCAAGCAGUAUUUUUCCUCUGGGGUUCAAGGAGUAUUUGACCAUCCAUUCUCUGUCUAGAAACAAAUCGUAGUUUUGGGCCAGUCGUCUAGUUCUGUGUUAACCCCCAUUGUCUGAAAACAAUGAUGAAGCAACUACAAUGUGCUCAAUACUAACGGGGAUUAUACAGGACUGCCAGUCAAGGUAAUGCAAUACUACGGGGAAUUAUACAGGAAGUCAAGGUAAAUGCAAUACUAACGGGGAAUUAUACAGGAAUCAAGGUAAAUGCAAUACUAACGGGGAAUUAUACAGGAAGUCAAGGUAAAUGCAAUACUACGGGGAAUUAUACAGGAAGUCAAGGUAAAUGCAAUACUAACGGGGAAUUAUACAGGAAGUCAAGGUAAAUGCAAUACUAACGGGGAAUUUACAGGAAGUCAGGUAAAUGCAUAUACGGGGAAUUAUCAGGAAGUCAAGGUAAAUGCAAUACUAACGGGGAAUUAUACAGGAAGUCCAGGUAAAUGCAAAGUAAGUGUGUAAAAACAUUUAUCUUUGAAGAAAUGACCGAAGUUUGAAAAUGCCCCAGCAUCAGCCAGCCAGCCAGCCAGUCAGCCAGUCAGUCAGCUAGCUAGCGGAGCACCCUUCCAUCUGCAGUAGUCAGCACCUAUGCAAAAUGCCCCGCAUCAGUCAGCCAGCCGCCAGUCAGCCAGCCAGUCAGCCAGCUAGCUAGCGGAGCACCUUCCAUCUGAGUAGUCAGCAGUCUAAUGCAAAUGCCCCAGCCAGCCAGUCAGUCAGUCAGCCAGCCAGCCGUCAGUCAGUCAGCCAGCAGAGCACCCUUCCAUCCAGCAGCAGUCUAAUGGAUCUACACUGUUCUGUCGUGAACCCAUUUCAGAGUUCUGUUUGAACCCAUUCAGAUGUUCUGUUCUGAACCCAUUUCAGAUGUUCUGUCGUGUGAACCCAUUUCAGUGUCUGUUGUGAACCCAUUCAGAUUUCUUGUUGUGAACCCAUUUCAGAUGUUCUGUUGUGAACCCAUUUCAGAUGUUCUGUUGUGAACCCAUUUCAGAUGUUCUGUUGUGAACCCAUUUCAGAUGUUCUGUUCGUUGCAGAAGACAAUAGUACAUUUAAUGACUUGUCAAAAUGUUAGUGUGUUCUUUCUUUCUGUGUCAACCUCAGUGAUCUGAAUGUACCAGUCGCUUGGUUUAAGCAUUCUAUAGCAAUAUAGCUGCACGGUCAGCGGGUAGCGGCUCAGGGAGGGAGUCGCUUGGUUUAAGGGAGUCGCUUGGUUUAAGGGAGAGUCGCUUGGUUUAGCAUUCUAUAGUAAUAUAGCUGCAUGGUCAGCGGGCUAGCGGCUCAGUGAGGGAGUCGCUUGGUUUAAGCAUUCUAUAGUAAUAUAGCUGCAGCGGUCAGCGGGCUAGCGGCUCAGUGAGGGAGUCGCUUGUUUAAGGGAGUCGCUUGGUUUGAGUCGCUUGGUUUAACCAUUCUAUAGCAAUAUAGCUGCACGGUCAGCGGGCUAGCGGCUCAGUGAGGGAGUCGCUUGGUUUAACCAUUCUAUAGCAAAAUAAAAAAUAUGUAAAAAUGUGUUUUAAGUCAAAAAUGUAAAUGGUUCUUUAACAAUAAAACUGGGAUAAAUAGUUUAUACAUGCUUAUUUCUCUGAUACUAUACAAAUCACAAUGAUUGUGAAUAUAUUAAUGUUAUGAAAAACUGAAUAAAAGUGAAGACCAAUUGUCCUCUUGAUUCUUAUUGUUACUAAAAACUGAUAUCUGCCUCAGAAUGCUGUUCGUUGACUACAGCUCAGCGUUCAACACCAUCGUGCCCACGAAGCUCAUCACAAAGCUAAGGAUCCUGGGACUAAACACCUCCCUCUGCAACUGGAUCCUGGACUUCCUGACGGGCCGCCCCCAGGUGGUGAGGGUAGGUAACAACACGUCUGCCACGCUGAUCCUCAACACUGGGGCUCCUCAGGGGUGUGUGCUAGUCCCCUCCUGUACUCACUGUUCACCCACGACUGCAAAACCGUCAUUAAGUUUGCUGACGACACAACAGUGGUAGGCCUGAUUCUCGACAACGAUGAGACAGCCUAUAGGGAGGAGGUCAGAGACCUGGUGGUAGGCCUGAUCCCCGACAACGAUGAGACAGCCUAUAGGGAGGAGGUCAGAGACCUGGUGGUAGGCCUGAUCCCCGACAACGAUGAGACAGGCCUGAUCCCCGACAACAAUGAGACAGCCUAUAGGGAGGAGGUCAGAGACCUGGCCCGGUGGUGCCAGGACAACAACCUCUCCCUCAACAAUGAGACAGCCUAUAGGGAGGAGGUCAGAGACCUGGCAGUGUGGUGCCAGGACAACAACCUCUCCCUCAAUGUGAUCAAGACAAAGGAGCUGAUCGUGGACUACAGGAAAAAGAGGGCCGAACAGGCCCCCAUUCACAUCGACGGGGAUGUAGUGGAGCGGGUCAAGAGUUAAGUUCCUUGGUGUCCACAUCACCAACGGACUAUCAUGGUCCAAACACACCAAGACAGUUGUGAAGAGGGCACAACAAAAACUAUUCCCCAUCAGGAGACUAAAAAGACUUGGCAUGGGUCCUCAGAUCCUCAAAAAGGUUCUACAGCUGCACCACCGAGAGCAUCCUGACCGGUUGCAUCACCGCUUAGUAUGGCAACUGCUCUGCAUCUGACCGCCAGGCGCUACAGAGGGUAGUGCGUACGGCCCAGUACAUCACUGGGGCCAAGCUUCCUGCCAUCCAGGACCUAUAUACCAGGCGGUGUCAGAGACAAACCGAUAAAAUUGUCAAGAGACUCCAAUCACCCAAGUCAUAGACCAUUCUCUCUGCUACCACAUGGUAAGCGGUACCGGAGCGCCAAGUCUAGCACCGUCAUAGGAUGCCACCUUUCCAACAAGACAGUUUGUAAAAUUCCUACCCUGCUAGAGCUUCCCCGGUCAACUUUGAGUGCUGUUAUUGUGAAGUGGAAACAUCUAGAAGCAACAACAUAGGCCACACAAGCUCACAGAACUGGACCGCUGAGUGCUGAAGCGCGUCUGUCCUCGGUUGCAACACUCACUCCCGAGUUCCAAACUGCCUCUGGAAGCAACGUCAGCACAAGAACUGUUGGUCGGGAGUUUCAUGAAAUGGGUUUCCAUGGCCGAGCAGCCGCACACAAGCCUAAGAUCACCAUGCAUAAUGCCAAGCCUCGGCUGGAGUGGUGUAAAGCUCACCGUCAUUGGACUCUGGAGUGAUGAAUCACGCUUCACCAUCUGGCAGUCCGACGGACGAAUCUGGGUUUGGCAGAUGCCAGGAAAACACUACUUGCCCCAAUGCAUAGUGCCAACUGUAAAGUUUGGUGGAGGAGGAAUAAUUGUCUGGGGCUGUUUUUCAUGGUUCGGGCCCUUUAGUUCCAGUGAAGGGAAAUCUUAAUGUUACAGCAUACAAUGACAUUCUAGACGAUUCUGUGCUUCCAACUUUGUGGCAACAGUUUGGGGAAGGCCCUUUCCUGUUUCAGCAUGACAAUGCCCCCAUGAACAAAGCCAGGUCCAUACAGAAAUGUUUUGUCGUGAUCGGUGUUGAAGAACUUGACUGGCCUGCACAGAGCCCUGACCUCAAAUCCAUCGAACACCUUUGGAAUGAAUUGGAAAGUCGACUGCGAGCCAGGCCUAAUCACCCAAUAUCAGUGUCCCCACAGCAAUGUUCCAACAUCUAGUGGAAAGCCUUCCCAGAAGAGUGGAGGCUGUUAUAGCAGCAAUGUUCCAACAUCUAGUGGAAAGCCUUCCCAGAAGAGUGGAGGCUGUUAUAGCAGCAAUGUUCCAACAUCUAGUGGAAAGCCUUGCCCAGAGAGUGGAGCCUGUU